AGAGUUAGCCAGACAAUCGCUGCCCAUGUUCGCAUGGGGGGAGGAAAGUCCGGGCUCCAUAGGGCAGAGUGCCAGAUAACGUCUGGGCGGCGUGAGCCGACGACUAGUGCAACAGAGAGCAAACCGCCGAUGGCCUGC
rnacentral:RNase_P_RNA from 1 species